rnacentral:rRNA from 1 species
UCGAGCGAUCUGCCUUGAAGAUCGGAGUGCUUGCACUCUGUGAAACAAGAUACAGGCUAGCGGCGGACGGGUGAGUAACACGUGGGUAACCUGCCCAAGAGAUCGGGAUAACACCUGGAAACAGAUGCUAAUACCGGAUAACAACAGAUGAUGCCUAUCAACUGUUUAAAAGAUGGUUCUGCUAUCACUCUUGGAUGGACCUGCGGUGCAUUAGCUAGUUGGUAGGGUAACGGCCUACCAAGGCGAUGAUGCAUAGCCGAGUUGAGAGACUGAUCGGCCACAUUGGGACUGAGACACGGCCCAAACUCCUACGGGAGGCAGCAGUAGGGAAUCUUCCACAAUGGACGCAAGUCUGAUGGAGCAACGCCGCGUGAGUGAAGAAGGGUUUCGGCUCGUAAAGCUCUGUUGUUGGUGAAGAAGGACAGGGGUAGUAACUGACCUUUGUUUGACGGUAAUCAAUUAGAAAGUCACGGCUAACUACGUGCCAGCAGCCGCGGUAAUACGUAGGUGGCAAGCGUUGUCCGGAUUUAUUGGGCGUAAAGCGAGUGCAGGCGGCUCGAUAAGUCUGAUGUGAAAGCCUUCGGCUCAACCGGAGAAUUGCAUCAGAAACUGUCGAGCUUGAGUACAGAAGAGGAGAGUGGAACUCCAUGUGUAGCGGUGAAAUGCGUAGAUAUAUGGAAGAACACCGGUGGCGAAGGCAGCUCUCUGGUCUGUUACUGACGCUGAGGCUCGAAAGCAUGGGUAGCGAACAGGAUUAGAUACCCUGGUAGUCCAUGCCGUAAACGAUGAGUGCUAAGUGUUGGGAGGUUUCCGCCUCUCAGUGCUG